UGGACCUCUCGGGGUUACAGCCUUGCUGAAUUAUUCACCCUUGUCUUUUGCGUACUUCUUGUUUCCUUGGUGGGUUCGCCCACCACUAGGACAAACAUAAACCUUUUGUAAUUGCAAUCAGCGUCAGUAACAAAUUAAUAAUUACAACUUUCAACAACGGAUCUCUUGGUUCUGGCAUCGAUGAAGAACGCAGCGAAAUGCGAUAAGUAGUGUGAAUUGCAGAAUUCAGUGAAUCAUCGAAUCUUUGAACGCACAUUGCGCCCUUUGGUAUUCCAAAGGGCAUGCCUGUUCGAGCGUCAUUUGUACCCUCAAGCUUUGCUUGGUGUUGGGCGUCUUGUCUCUAGCUUUGCUGGAGACUCGCCUUAAAGUAAUUGGCAGCCGGCCUACUGGUUUCGGAGCGCAGCACAAGUCGCACUCUCUAUCAGCAAAGGUCUAGCAUCCAUUAAGCCUUUUUUUCAACUUUUGACCUCGGAUCAGGUAGGGAUACCCGCUGAACUUAAGCAUAUC
rnacentral:rRNA from 1 species